AACGUAGGAGGCGAGCGUUAUCCGGAGUUACUGGGCGUAAAGCGCGUGUAGGUGGCUUGUUACGUCUGCUGUGAAAUGUCCCGGCUUAACCGGGACUAGGCGGUAGAUACGGGCAGGCUAGAGGGUGACAGAGGAGCGUAGAAUCCGGGUGUAGUGGUGAAAUGCGUAGAGAUCCGGAGGAAUACCAGUGGCGCGAAGCGGCGCUCUGGGUCGAGCCUGACACUGAGACGCGAAGGCAUGGGGAGCGAACGGG
rnacentral:rRNA from 1 species